UCAGGAUGAACGCUAGCUACAGGCUUAACACAUGCAAGUCGAGGGGCAGCAUUGGGAUAGCUUGCUAUUCCAGAUGGCGACCGGCGCACGGGUGAGUAACGCGUAUCCAACCUUCCCCAUAGUAGGGCACAGCCCGGCGAAAGUCGGAUUAAUUCCCUAUGUUGUCCAGAGAGGACAUCUGACCUGGACGAAAGAUUCAUCGCUAUGGGAUGGGGAUGCGUCUGAUUAGGUUGCAGGCGGGUAACGGCCCACCUGGCCGACGAUCAGUAGGGGUUCUGAGAGGAAGGUCCCCCACAUUGGAACUGAGACACGGUCCAAACUCCUACGGGAGGCAGCAGUGAGGAAUAUUGGUCAAUGGACGGAAGUCUGAACCAGCCAAGUAGCGUGCAAGGAUGACGGCCCUAUGGGUUGUAAACUGCUUUUAUCAGGGGAUAAAGUGAGGUAUGUAUACCUUUUUGCAUGUACCUGAUGAAUAAGGACCGGCUAAUUCCGUGCCAGCCGCCGC
rnacentral:rRNA from 1 species